rnacentral:rRNA from 1 species
GACGAACGCUGGCGGCGUGCUUAACACAUGCAAGUCGAACGGAAAGGCCCUGCUUUUGUGGGGUGCUCGAGUGGCGAACGGGUGAGUAACACGUGAGUAACCUGCCCUUGACUUUGGGAUAACUUCAGGAAACUGGGGCUAAUACCGGAUAGGAGCUCCUGCUGCAUGGUGGGGGUUGGAAAGUUUCGGCGGUUGGGGAUGGACUCGCGGCUUAUCGGCUUGUUGGUGGGGUAGUGGCUUACCAAGGUUUUGACGGGUAGCCGGCCUGAGAGGGUGACCGGCCACAUUGGGACUGAGGUACGGCCCAGACUCCUACGGGAGGCAGCAGGGGGGAAUAUUGCGCAAUGGGCGGAAGCCUGAUGCAGCAACGCCGCGUGCGGGAUGACGGCCUUCGGGUUAUAAACCGCUUUCGCCGGUGACGAAGCGUGAGUGACGGUAAUUGGUAAAGAAGCACCGGCUAACUACGUG